CUGACACAGAAAAAUAAUGUCUGCUUAAAAUUUUGGGAACCCUUUGCUUUACAGACAACAAACUUAGUAUACUGGUACUCCCAAAGGAAUAAAGACCCCUACUGAUUUUGGGUUACAAGGUGAAAGCACAAGAUCUGUAGUCCUCCUAAGAAAUAUAUGACAACUUUUAAUUUGGGGGUCAUAACUCGAUUACAAGAUCAAAUACGUGUCAUUCUUGACAAUUAAUAUUUUAGGAAAUCAUUUUUCACUCAAUUUUGUGAAAAGCCUCUUAUUAUUACAGACAUUUAACUCGUUGGUACCAAUCCUUUAGGAGUAUACAUGAUCACAUUUUAUUUUGAGGUCACUAAUCUCUGGAUAUCAUAUAGGAAUAUCUCAUGCUGAAUAAAGAGUAAAUGUUUAUUUUUAUUUUAAAUGAGAAAAAAGGGCAACUGUUUGAAUCGUGCAAAAGACAUAAAUCUACAACAAGGAAUUGAUCAAAAAAGUUAUACCAUUCCCCUGAUCCCCUGCAUUUACUUUUAUGAUAUAAAACUGUUGUAUACAGCAAUGCUUUCUUACCCUAAAUUUAACAAUUUUAUUUAACAAUUGAAAUUUUAUGAUAUUUAUCAAAUAAAAAAAUCUUUCAGGAAAAGAAUCUUACCCUUAGCUUUCUUAGUAUAGUUCAUCCAAGAUUAAUUUAUGAAAAGUCAGUGCAUUGACCAGUAAAUUCUCUAUAAGUUGAACAUCCAUUGACAUUUGAAAAUCAUGCAUGUGUCUCUACUUACUUCAUCACACAGUUUUUUGACCAAAACUAAUUAUAUAUAACUUUAUCACAGUAUAACACACAGAUAUAUCGAUGUCUAAUUUCUCCAAUUUCGAAUUCCCCUUCAAACAACAGUUGCAUUUAAAUGAUAGCUGUUCACAUGUGCAACUGCGACCCUUCCAUACAUAUUUGAAUGGAAACAUGUGGUGCCACUAACUGAAGAAAUGUCAAUCAAAACACUGCACACUGAUAAUCUUGGGUGUGUUAUCAGUCUUGGACACAUCCAUCUCUCAACCCUACCAAAAUGUUCACGAUUUCAAAUCAGAAGAUGAUUAUCACAUUGAAAGAUUGUUGAAUAAAACAGGAUGUUGCAGUUCUUCACAGUUAAGGAUUUAUUAAGACAAAAUGAUAUGCCCUGGAUUUCAAUGUAAAAGAAAACGAAUACCCUCAUGACACCACUUGCAGCAACAUUUCAGAGAAAUGAUUAAAGUGUCGUAAACAAAUCAAAGACAUGUUUAUCUAUAACACGAUCAAGUCAUCAUAGCAUCAGCACUGAUCUUUACUGUCCAUGAAGUCACAGGGGACAGAUAGUUGCCAGAGCUGAUCGCCUAUAGCUAGUUUUCCAUGAGCAUAUAUGAUUGGCAGUGAUUAAUAACAAUUACAAUGUGAGCUGGGGCCAGAAAGACAUCAAGUCUUUAUCUUUAAAGUAGAGAAUGAUGCAGGAAUUAGGGUAACUAGACAAAUCCCUAUUAUAGAAUCAAUUCUUCAGUUUUAAGAAAUACACAAUAGUACUGCAAUAUAAUACAAAUUGAGAUUCAGAAUGAAAAUAGGUUCGUGUAAAUUAA